UACGUAGGGUGCAAGCGUUGUCCGGAACUAUUGGGCGUAAAGCGCACGCAGGCGGUCAACCAAGUUCCGUGUGACAGUGCUCGGCUCAACUGAGCAAGGCUGCGGAAAACUGGCUGACUUGAGGACCAGAGAGGGACAUAGAAUCCGGGUGGAGUGGUGGAAUGCGUAGAGAUCCGGAAGAACACCGGUGGCGAAGGCGGCCUGCUGGGCAGUGGCUGACGCUGAGGCGCGACAGCGUGGGGAGCAAACAGG
rnacentral:rRNA from 1 species